rnacentral:piRNA from 1 species
UGGUAUUAACUGGCUCUGGGC